GACGAACGCUGGCGGCGUGCUUAACACAUGCAAGUCGAGCGGUAAGGCCCUUUCGGGGGUACACGAGCGGCGAACGGGUGAGUAACACGUGGGUGACCUGCCCUCAGCUCUGGGAUAAGCCUGGGAAACCGGGUCUAAUACUGGAUAUGACUCCAUGACGCAUGUUGUGGGGUGGAAAGCCUUGUGCGGCUGAGGAUGGGCCCGCGGCCUAUCAGCUUGUUGGUGGGGUGANGGCCUACCAAGGCGACGACGGGUAGCCGGCCUGAGAGGGCGACCGGCCACACUGGGACUGAGACACGGCCCAGACUCCUACGGGAGGCAGCAGUGGGGAAUCUUGCGCAAUGGGCGAAAGCCUGACGCAGCGACGCCGCGUGAGGGAUGACGGCCUCGGUUGUAACGUACUUACUAC
rnacentral:rRNA from 1 species